UACGGAGGGUGCGAGCGUUGUCCGGAAUCACUGGGCGUAAAGGGCGCGUAGGCGGCUGGGUUGGUCCGUGGUGAAAGCUCGAGGCUCAACUUCGAGUCGGCCAUGGAUACUCCUCGGCUUGAGCACUGUAGAGGCAGGUGGAAUUCCGGGUGUAGCGGUGGAAUGCGCAGAUAUCAGGAGGAACACCGAUGGCGAAGGCAGAUCUCUGGGCCGUAACUGACGCUGAGGAGCGAAAGCAUGGGGAGCGAACAGG
rnacentral:rRNA from 1 species